AUUGAACGCUGGCGGCAGGCCUAACACAUGCAAGUCGAGCGAGCGGCGGACGGGUGAGUAAUGUAUGGGGACUGCCCGAUAGAGGGGGAUAACUACUGGAAACGGUAGCUAAUACCGCAUACUAUCGGAUAACCCAUAUGGGAUAAGCUAGUAGGUGAGGUAAAGGCUCACAAAGGCAACGAUACGGAGCUGGUUUGCGAGGACGACCAGCCACACUUGUACUGCGACACGGCCCAGACUCCUACGGAGGCAGCAGUGGGGAAUUUUGGAGAAGAGGGGAAACCCUGAGCCAGCCAUCGCGCGUAUAUGAUGAAGGCCUUCGGGUUGUAAAGUACGUUUGGCAGAGAAGCGGUAUCUGCAGAAUAAGCACCGGCUAACUACGUGCCAGCAGCCGCGGUAAUAC
rnacentral:rRNA from 1 species